rnacentral:rRNA from 1 species
UACGGGAGGCAGCAGUAGGGAAUCUUCGGCAAUGGACGAAAGUCUGACCGAGCAACGCCGCGUGAGUGAAGAAGGUUUUCGGAUCGUAAAACUCUGUUGUUAGAGAAGAACAAGGAUGAGAGUAAAACGUUCAUCCCUUGACGGUAUC